UACCGUGCCCCGAUACGGCAUUGCGGCCCAAAGAUCUCAGCCCAAUGCCCACCCAGUGCACGAAGAACGAACUUUAAAUGUUCUCCGAUGAGCCUGCACGGUUGAGUUCCAGUGCAGGAACAGAUACGGAACAUACAUUU